rnacentral:rRNA from 1 species
CCCUUAGAUGUUCUGGGCCGCACACGCGCUACACUGAAGGAGGCAGCGUGUACUCCUGGAUCGAAAGAUUUGGGUAACCCGCGAAUCUCCUUCGUGCUAGGGAUUGAGGUUUGCAAUUAUCCUUCAUGAACGAGGAAUUCCCAGUAAGUGCAAGUCAUAAGCUUGCGCUGACUACGUCCCUGCCCUUUGUACACACCGCCCGUCGCUACUACCGAUUGAAUGGUCCGGUGAAAUCUUCGGAUUGCUGGAUAGGACUUCAUUGACCUAUCUGCGAGAAGUUGCUUGAACCUUAUCAUUUAGAGGAAGGAGAAGUCGUAACA